UCAACACCCUCGGUCUCAACAGCC
rnacentral:siRNA from 1 species